rnacentral:rRNA from 1 species
AUUUUGGACAAUGGGGUAAACCCUGAUCCAGCCAUUCCGCGUGUAUGAUGAAGGCCUUCGGGCUGUAAAGUACUUUUGGCAUCGAUGAAAAUGUAUCUCCUACUAGGAGAUACUGCCGACGGUAGCUGCAGAAUAAGCACCGGCUACCUACGUGCAAGCAGCCGCGGUAAUACGCAGGGUGCAAGCGUUAAUCGGAAUUACUGGGCGUAAAGCAUGUGUAGGCGGUUCGGAACGAAAGAUGUGACAUCCCAGGGCUCAACCUUGGAGCUGCAUUUUUAACUGCCGAGCUAGAGUAUGUCAGAGGGGGGUAGAAUUCCACGUGUAGCAGUGAAAUGCGUAGAUAUGUGGAGGAAUACCGAUGGCGAAGGCAGCCCCCUGGGAUAAUACUGACGCUCAGACACGAAAGCGUGAGGAGCAAACA